rnacentral:tRNA from 2 species
GCGGGUGUAGCUCAAUGGCAGAGCACCUGCCUUCCAAGCAGGAUGUUGUGGGUUCGAGUCCCAUCGCCCGCU